rfam:Ictidomys tridecemlineatus contig018765, whole genome shotgun sequence.
GGGGAUAUAGCUCAGUUGGUAGAGUGCUUGCCUCGAAUGGAUAAGGCCCUGGGUUCAAUCCCCAGUACCA